GAUGAACGCUAUCGACAGGCUUAACACAUGCAAGUCGAGGGGCAGCACAGGUAGCAAUACCGGGUGGCGACCGGCGCACGGGUGAGUAACGCGUAUGCAACUUACCUAUCAGAGGGGGAUAACCCGGCGAAAGUCGGACUAAUACCGCAUGAAGCAGGGGCCCCGCAUGGGGAUAUUUGCUAAAGAUUCAUCGCUGAUAGAUAGGCAUGCGUUCCAUUAGGCAGUUGGCGGGGUAACGGCCCACCAAACCGACGAUGGAUAGGGGUUCUGAGAGGAAGGUCCCCCACAUUGGUACUGAGACACGGACCAAACUCCUACGGGAGGCAGCAGUGAGGAAUAUUGGUCAAUGGCCGAGAGGCUGAACCAGCCAAGUCGCGUGAGGGAUGAAGGUUCUAUGGAUCGUAAACCUCUUUUAUAAGGGAAUAAAGUGCGGGACGUGUCCCGUUUUGUAUGUACCUUAUGAAUAAGGAUCGGCUAACUCCGUGCCAGCAGCCGCGGUAAUACGGAGGAUCCGAGCGUUAUCCGGAUUUAUUGGGUUUAAAGGGUGCGUAGGCGGCCUUUUAAGUCAGCGGUGAAAGUCUGUGGCUCAACCAUAGAAUUGCCGUUGAAACUGGGAGGCUUGAGUAUGUUUGAGGCAGGCGGAAUGCGUGGUGUAGCGGUGAAAUGCAUAGAUAUCACGCAGAACCCCGAUUGCGAAGGCAGCCUGCCAAGCCAUUACUGACGCUGAUGCACGAAAGCGUGGGGAUCAAACAGGAUUAGAUACCCUGGUAGUCCACGCAGUAAACGAUGAUCACUAGCUGUUUGCGAUACACUGUAAGCGGCACAGCGAAAGCGUUAAGUGAUCCACCUGGGGAGUACGCCGGCAACGGUGAAACUCAAAGGAAUUGACGGGGGCCCGCACAAGCGGAGGAACAUGUGGUUUAAUUCGAUGAUACGCGAGGAACCUUACCCGGGUUUGAACGCAUUCGGACCGAGGUGGAAACACCUUUUCUAGCAAUAGCCGUUUGCGAGGUGCUGCAUGGUUGUCGUCAGCUCGUGCCGUGAGGUGUCGGCUUAAGUGCCAUAACGAGCGCAACCCUUGCCACUAGUUACUAACAGGUAAAGCUGAGGACUCUGGUGGGACUGCCAGCGUAAGCUGCGAGGAAGGCGGGGAUGACGUCAAAUCAGCACGGCCCUUACAUCCGGGGCGACACACGUGUUACAAUGGCGUGGACAAAGGGAAGCCACCUGGCGACAGGGAGCGAAUCCCCAAACCACGUCUCAGUUCGGAUCGGAGUCUGCAACCCGACUCCGUGAAGCUGGAUUCGCUAGUAAUCGCGCAUCAGCCAUGGCGCGGUGAAUACGUUCCCGGGCCUUGUACACACCGCCCGUCAAGCCAUGGGAGCCGGGGGUACCUGAAGUCCGUAACCGCGAGGAUCGGCCUAGGGUAAAACUGGUGACUGGGGCUAA
rnacentral:rRNA from 1 species